UAGGUCUCAGUUCAGAUUGCAGGCUGCAACCCGCCUGCAUGAAGUCGGAAUUGCUAGUAAUCGCGGAUCAGCAUGCCACGGUGAAUACGUUCCCGGGCCUUGUACACACCGCCCGUCACACCAUGGGAGCCGGUAAUACCCGAAGUCAGUAGUCCAACCUCGUGAGGACGCUGCCGAAGGUAGGAUUGGCGACUGGGGUGAAGUCGUAACAAGGUACC
rnacentral:rRNA from 1 species